CAGCCGCCGCGGGAAUACGAAGGGUGCAAGCGUUACUCGGAAUUACUGGGCGUAAAGCGUGCGUAGGUGGUGGUUUAAGUCCGUUGUGAAAGCCCUGGGCUCAACCUGGGAAUUGCAGUGGAUACUGGGUCACUAGAGUGUGGGAGAGGAUGGUGGAAUUCCCGGUGUAGCGGUGAAAUGCGUAGAGAUCGGGAGGAACAUCAGUGGCGAAGGCGGCCAUCUGGGACAACACUGACGCUGAAGCACGAAAGCGUGGGGAGCAAACAGGAUUAGAUACCCCCGUAGUCCCUGUCUCUUAUAC
rnacentral:rRNA from 1 species